GAUGAAGAACGCAGCGAAAUGCGAUACGUAAUGUGAAUUGCAGAAUUCAGUGAAUCAUCGAGUCUUUGAACGCACAUUGCGCCCCCUGGUAUUCCGGGGGGCAUGCCUGUCCGAGCGUCAUUGCUGCCCUCAAGCACGGCUUGUGUGUUGGGCCUCCGUCCUCCUCCCGGGGGACGGGCCCGAAAGGCAGCGGCGGCACCGCGUCCGGUCCUCGAGCGUAUGGGGCUUCGUCACCCGCUCUUGUAGGCCCGGCCGGCGCUUGCCGACACAUCAAUCUUUUUUCCAGGUUGGCCUCGGAUCAGGUAGGGAUACCCGCUGAACUUAAGCAUAUCAAUAAGCGAGGA
rnacentral:misc_RNA from 1 species